AUGAACGCUGGCGGCGUGCCUAAUACCUGCCAGUCGAGCGAACGGACGCGAAGCUUGCUUCUCUGAUGUUAGCGGCGGACGGGUGAGUAACACGUGGAUAACCUACCUAUAAGACUGGGAUAACUUCGGGAAACCGGAGCUAAUACCGGAUAAUAUUUUGAACCGCAUGGUUCAAAAGUGAAAGACGGUCUUGCUGUCACUUAUAGAUGGAUCCGCGCUGCAUUAGCUAGUUGGUAAGGUAACGGCUUACCAAGGCAACGAUGCAUAGCCGACCUGAGAGGGUGAUCGGCCACACUGGAACUGAGACACGGUACAGACUCCUACGGGAGGCAGCAGUAGGGAAUCUUCCGCAAUGGGCGAAAGCCUGACGGAGCAACGCCGCGUGAGUGAUGAAGGUCUUCGGAUCGUAAAACUCUGUUAUUAGGGAAGAACAUAUGUGUAAGUAACUGUGCACAUCUUGACGGUACCUAAUCAGAAAGCCACGGCUAACUACGUG
rnacentral:rRNA from 1 species